ensembl:misc_RNA 7SK 7SK RNA
GGAUGUGCAGGCAAUCUGAUUACGACAUUUAUCACCCUACUGAUCGCCAGGGUUGAUUCGGCUGAUCUGGCUGGCUGGGCGACUGUCCCCUUCCUCCCUCGCUGCUCCGUGUGCACCCCUCCCGAAGCUGCAUGCUUGGCCGAAGAGGACAACCAUCCCCGAGAGAGGAGGACCAGUCUUCAAUCAAGGGUAUACAAGUAGCUGCUCUCCCCUGCUAGAACCUCCAAACAAGCUCCCAAGUACAGUUUCUGCUGAGUGUGUAUAGUUUUCCCCACCACCAUGAAAUAGAAAAAUCAAAAUUUCAUUAGGUUGUUGGUUAAUCAUUU